UACGUAGGGUGCGAGCGUUAAUCGGAAUUACUGGGCGUAAAGCGUGCGCAAGCGGUUCGUUAAGUCAGCUGUGAAAGCCCCGGGCUCAACCUGGGAAUGGCGGUUGAAACUGGCGAACUUGAAUCUGGCAGAGGGGGGUGGAAUUCCGCGUGUAGCAGUGAAAUGCGUAGAUAUGCGGAGGAACACCGAUGGCGAAGGCAAUCCCCUGGGCCUGCACUGACGCUCAGGCACGAAAGCGUGGGGAGCAAACAGG
rnacentral:rRNA from 1 species